rnacentral:misc_RNA from 1 species
AACGCACAUUGCGCCCCUUGGCAUUCCGAGGGGCAUGCCUGUUCGAGCGUCAUUAUCACCACUCAAGCUCUGCUUGGUUCUGGAUCGCGCCGGCUGCGGCCGAUCCCAAAUCCAGUGGCGACCCCCGCUGGCUCUCCGCGUAGUAAACAUCUCGCGUGGGCGCCGUGGGUGCGUUGACCAGAAGUCUUCUUCUCAGGUUGACCUCGAAUCAGGUAGGAAUACCCGCUGAACUUAA